rnacentral:misc_RNA from 1 species
UCCGAGUUGUCCCCGGCAGUCCUUUUAGAGUCCCCGGCAUUACCCGCUGGCAACUAAAAGCAGGGGUUGCGCUCGUUGCGGCACUUAACCCAACAUCUCACGACACGAGCUGACGACAACCAUGCAGCACCUCUGCUGGCUCCCUUGCGGGUCAGCCACUAUUUCUAGCGACUUACCACCAGUAGUUCAAGCCCAGGUAAGGUUGUUCGCGUUGCGUCGAAUUAAACCACAUGCUCCACCGCUUGUGCGGGCCCCCGUCAAUUCCUUUGAGUUUCAACCUUGCGGCCGUACUCCCCAGGCGGCUAAUUUAAUGCGUUAGCUUCGGCGCGGGAGGGGUCGAUACCUUCCACACCUAAUUAGCAUCGUUUAGGGCUAGGACUAC